GAUGAACGCUGGCGGCGUGCCUAAUACAUGCAAGUCGAGCGAACAGACGAGGAGCUUGCUCCUCUGACGUUAGCGGCGGACGGGUGAGUAACACGUGGAUAACCUCCCUAUACGACUGGGAUAACUUCGGGAAACCGGAGCUAAUACCGGAUAAUAUAUUGAACCGCAUGGUUCAAUAGUGAAAGACGGUUUUGCUGUCACUUAUAGAUGGAUCCGCGCCGCAUUAGCUAGUUGGUAAGGUAACGGCUUACCAAGGCGACGAUGCGUAGCCGACCUGAGAGGGUGAUCGGCCACACUGGAACUGAGACACGGUCCAGACUCCUACGGGAGGCAGCAGUAGGGAAUCUUCCGCAAUGGGCGAAAGCCUGACGGAGCAACGCCGCGUGAGUGAUGAAGUUCUUCGGAUCGUAAAACUCUGUUAUUAGGGAGAAACAAAUGUGUAAGUAACUAUGCACGUCUUGACGGUACCUAAUCAGAAAGCCACGGCUAACUACGUG
rnacentral:rRNA from 1 species